AUUGUACGCUGGCGGCAUGCCUUACACAUGCAAGUCGAACGGUAACGGGCCUUCGGGUGCCGACGAGUGGCGGACGGGUGAGUAAUGUAUCGGAACGUACCUUUCAGUGGGGGAUAACGUAGCGAAAGUUACGCUAAUACCGCAUAUUCUGUGAGCAGGAAAGCAGGGGAUCGCAAGACCUUGCGCUGAUUGAGCGGCCGAUAUCAGAUUAGCUAGUUGGUGAGGUAAAAGCUCACCAAGGCGACGAUCUGUAGCGGGUCUGAGAGGAUGAUCCGCCACACUGGAACUGAGACACGGUCCAGACUCCUACGGGAGGCAGCAGUGGGGAAUUUUGGACAAUGGGGGCAACCCUGAUCCAGCCAUGCCGCGUGAGUGAAGAAGGCCUUCGGGUUGUAAAGCUCUUUCGGCCGGGAAGAAAUCGUAUCAGCUAAUACCUGGUGCGGAUGACGGUACCGGCAUAAGAAGCACCGGCUAACUACGUGCCAGCCGCCGCCGUAAAAC
rnacentral:rRNA from 1 species